rnacentral:lncRNA from 1 species
UUUGAACGUUAUGUUAUCUCCAUAACCUUAGCUUUCUGUGGAUAUAUAUUUUCAUGUGAUACAAACUUUAAUAUUCUUAUAACCUAAGAAACAAAAGAGUAGAGAUGCCGCUCAAGUUCACUGUGCUUUUAUGUGUAUUCUCUUUCAUGCUGUUUGUAGAGAUGCACAUUGAUGUUAAAGGAAAGAGAUCUGUGAAGCCUAGUUCUCGCCUUUUGUUUUGUAAACAAAAUUCGAUGAUAAACAACGCUAUGCUUACCAGAGUUAUAAAGAGGGAGCUUACAGAUGAACUCAAGAACAAGUGCUGGUGCUCCACCUCCUCCGUUGCAUAUUACAUGAACUCAAGAACAAUUUC